GGGCACCCACUGUAAUUGCUACAGUAUCGAGAAGGGAAGCGGCAGAUGUAAAAUCUUAAAUCCCCCCGGUCAUAGAAAUUAAAAUGAGGGAUUCCCCAUCGCGGGGAUAAAUUCCACUGGAAAGUGGCGCCACAGAGGGUGACAGCCCCGUGAACCCCCUUAACGCCCUCAUCCCAGAUCUCCAAGAAUCUAGUUGUUUGGGAAUGCAUCUCUUAGUGGGUGGUAAAUUCCAUCUAAAGCUAAAUACCGGCGAAAAACCGAUAGCGAAAAAGUACAGUGAAGGAAAAAUGAAAUGUUCUUUGAAAAGAAAGUGAAAAAGUACGUGAAAUUGUUGAAAGGGAUUGGCUUGCAAGCGGAAACUUAACUGGGCCAAGGUGUGGGCGGCGGGAAACCAAACGGCAGGGGAAUGUACCUUUUUAGGAUUAUAACCCCGGCCCUUAUUUCGCCCCGACGCCUGGGCCUGCAAUCUAAGGAC
rnacentral:rRNA from 2 species